GAACGCUGGCGGCAUGCUUUACACAUGCAAGUCGAACGGUGACAGGCCUUCGGGUGCUGACGAGUGGCGAACGGGUGAGUAAUGCAUCGGAACGUACCCAGAGGUGGGGGAUAACGCAGCGAAAGCUGUGCUAAUACCGCAUGUGAUCUGAGGAUGAAAGCGGGGGACCGAGCAGCAAUGUUUGGCCUCGCGCCUUUGGAGCGGCCGAUGUCGGAUUAGCUAGUUGGUGGGGUAAAGGCCUACCAAGGCGACGAUCCGUAGCUGGUCUGAGAGGACGACCAGCCACACUGGGACUGAGACACGGCCCAGACUCCUACGGGAGGCAGCAGUGGGGAAUUUUGGACAAUGGGCGCAAGCCUGAUCCAGCAAUGCCGCGUGCGGGAAGAAGGCCUUCGGGUUGUAAACCGCUUUUGGCAGGAACGAAACGGUGUCCGCUAAUACCGGGCGCUAAUGACGGUACCUGCAGAAUAAGCACCGGCUAACUACGUG
rnacentral:rRNA from 1 species